rnacentral:rRNA from 1 species
CGGAGGAUCCAAGCGUUAUCCGGAAUCAUUGGGUUUAAAGGGUCCGUAGGCGGUUUAGUAAGUCAGUGGUGAAAGCCCAUCGCUCAACGGUGGAACGGCCAUUGAUACUGCUAGACUUGAAUUAUUAGGAAGUAACUAGAAUAUGUAGUGUGGCGGUGAAAUGCUUAGAGAUUACAUGGAAUACCAAUUGCGAAGGCAGGUUACUACUAAUGGAUUGACGCUGAUGGACGAAAGCGUGGGUAGCGAACAGGAUUAGAUACCCUGGUAGUCCACGCCGUAAACGAUGGAUACUAGCUGUUGGGAGCGAUCUCAGUGGCUAAGCGAAAGUGAUAAGUAUCCCACCUGGGGAGUACGUUCGCAAGAAUG